AUUUCAGGAAUUGGAGAUGCCCCUGUGGCUGAGGAGGAGCUGGGGCUGGGGCCGGGGCCAGGGCCGGGGCUCUGACCUGCCACUCUGCCCCACAUUAAGGGCAGAGACCGAAGAGGUGGCUGCCUGGACCUUGGAGCCCCAGGGUGGGCGGCCACCUUGGCCAGGACUCGGGCGCCCCCUUACAGAAGGCUGUGCUCACCCCUUCUUUUCUCGCCCCUGCUCUGUGCUGCAUUUGGAAAGAACCUAAAUGUCCUCCCUCUGAAGACUGGUUAAACAUCUGGUUAUGAUCCAGUGCUCACGUUUCUGGAAUCCGUUCCUUUGGCUGUGCCACUUGUGAUCCCUUCUGCUCCAACGUUUGCCUGGGGAGCUCAUUAGGUAGCCAGGACCCUGGGCCACUGCACCCCACCAGGACGGCAGGACUGAAAAGGCCACUGACCUGCUCAUCUGACACCUGAGGGCCGCUGGAGACCCAGGGACACUCCUGCUGCGGCUCAUGUUUGGAAGCUGUCCGGAGGCGGGACUUCCUCUUCCUCCAGGGGCCGCCGUCCGGAGGCGGGACUUCCUCUUCCUCGGGGACAACUGUCUUUUUCUCUUAAGGCCUUGGACUGCCUGGAUGAGGCUAUAAUAUGGUCAGUACUCUGCUCUACCCAAAGUCUCCUGAUUGAAAUAUUAACCUCAUCCAAGAAACACCCUCACAGCGACGUCUACACUGGUGUUUGACCAAAUAGCUGGGGACCGUGGCCUGGUCGAGCUGACACAAAAGUAACCAUCACAGCUGCUGCUAUGGUCUGAAUGUUGAUGUCACCCCCAGAUUCAUUUGUUAGAACUUAAGCCCCAAGGCGAUGGCAUCACUGGUGGGCUUUGGGAGAUGAGGAGGAUAUGAAUGGGACCAGUAGCCUCAUAAGAGUUUUGAGGGUCCUGGUUGCCCUUCCCCACCCUCCCGUCCCUGCCACUGGGUGAGGACACAGCAAGAAGCCGCCGUCCUGGGAGCAGAGAGCAGAAAGCAGCCCUCACCAGACGCUGAAUCUGCUGGGGCCUCGGUCCUGGACGUCCCAGCCUCCAGAACUGAGCGAUGAAAUUCUGGUUACAAAUUGCCCCCUCUGAGGUAUUUUGUUUUAGCAGAAGGAACAGACGAGGAUGACCACCGAGGCCCUUCUCAGGCUGCCGCGGGUCUCCAGGAUGGGGACAGUCAGCUGGGGCCAACCGAGCUGCAUGUGGUCAAGGGCCCAUGCAUGUGACCAGGGCCCGCCUCCCACGUCACCCAGUGCACCCUCAGCAUGGGACACGGACCUAGACACUGCCGGGGUCUCCGUCCUUGCAGGCACUGCCAGGCGCCCCUCCCUGGGAGAAGCUGCAGCUCUGAGGCUACGGUCUUGCAGGUCAGCCACCACCUGGCUUUGUGGUCUGUUAUGCCCGGCCUAGUGUCCAGGGUGGUGACAUUUAUUUGAACAAAGACCAGUCUCCACCACCAAAGUCAUGGCUCUGCUGUUGCUUCCAGAACCAAAGAAAGGCUGGCUUCUGGGCUGGGCGUGGUGAUUCACGCCUGUAAUCCCAGCACUUUGGGAGGCCGAGACGGGCAGAUCACGAGGCCAGGAGUUCGAGACCAUCUUGGCUAACAUGGUGAAACCCUAUCUCUACUAAAAAUACAAAAAAAAUUAGCUGGGUGUGGUGGCACGUGCCUGUAAUCUCAGCAACUCAGGAGGCUGAGGCAGGAGAAUGGCUUCAACCUCGGAGGCGGAGGUUGCAGUGAGCCAAGAUCGCACCACUGCACCCCAGCGUGGGCAACAGAGCAAGACGCUGUCUCAAAAAAAAAAAAAAAAAAAAAAAAAAAAAGUCGGCUUCUCAAGCAGGUGGAAUCAGCGCUUGAUGAGACUCUGUAAUGACUGCAUAAUGAAGGCCCUCCCGGUCCUCCCCCAGCCGGUGCUCCUGUGAAACGGAGCCUGGGAAGCUCCCUUACUGGAGAAGUCUUUCGGCCGGAGAAUCGAUUCCUGCAGCCCCUUGUUUCAAUUCCGUGAGGCUUGAAGGGAGGGGCCGGCGGGCACCUGCAGACAAAUGCAUCCCAGGUGUAAGGAGGGUGCCCGUGGUCGCCCACGUGGCCAGCACAGGGCCGAGGGGGAUGAGGGCAGGGGCUGCCGCCUGCACUCAGCUCCAGGCCUGCCUCAGGGGAGCUGCAAAGCUACUCAUUCUCAUCAGCUUCAAGCUGACAUCCUUUUUGUCUUCAGUCCAGUAUUAGCUUAAAGGGAAAAGCGUUCUUGUUUGAAAUGUUAACUGGGUGCAUUCUGCUCGUUUUAAUUGUUUCAUUUGCCUAUUACGGCAGCCACAGCAGACGUGUUCCGAUUAGCAAAGAGGAAAAUCUAUCCACUGGAUCAAACUUGUAAAUGUGCAUCUCUCGGGGACUCUGUCCACAUCAGGCCUGUCCCUGGGGUCAUGGGGUGUGGGGAGGGGAGGCGAGGGGCCAGUGCUGGCCAGGUGGGACGAAGGCCACUGGGUCCGUUCCAGUCAUUGACUGCUCUCUUCUCUCCUCGUCCCUCUCACUCAGGCCAGGUCCUGACCCCCUUCCUGCUAAGGGCGGGUGGGCUUGGCAGCCUCUGCUGGGCACAGGGUGGUGGCCACAUCUGCUGCCUAAAAGGGCUGCCCCGGAGCAUCCCUGGGGGUGCUGUAUCUGCACCUCCAGCACUGCAGGCCCCUCACAGUGUCCCAGCCCUGUUGCCGGGUGGCUGCUCCCCUGCCCUUGGGGCUAGGGCAUCCAGGUCCUUUGGGGGCUCUGCUGGCGGUGCCCAGACCUGU
rnacentral:lncRNA from 1 species